UACGGAGGGUGCAAACGUUGCUCGGAAUCAUUGGGCGUAAAGCGCACGUAGGCGGCUAGAUAAGUCGGGUGUGAAAGCCCUGGGCUCAACCCAGGAAGUGCAUUCGAAACUGUCUAGCUUGAAUCUCGGAGGGGGUCAGAGAAUUCCCGGUGUAGAGGUGAAAUUCGUAGAUAUCGGGAGGAAUACCAGUGGCGAAGGCGCUGACCUGGACGAAGAUUGACGCUGAGGUGCGAAAGCGCGGGGAGCAAACAGGG
rnacentral:rRNA from 1 species